CCCGCUGAACUUAAGCAUAUCAAUAAGCGGAGGAAAAGAAACUAACAAGGAUUCCCCUAGUAACUGCGAGUGAAGCGGGAAAAGCUCAAAUUUAAAAUCUGGCAGUCUUUGGCUGUCCGAGUUGUAAUCUAUAGAAGUGUUAUCCGCGCUGGACCAUGUACAAGUCUCCUGGAAUGGAGCGUCAUAGAGGGUGAGAAUCCCGUCUUUGACAUGGACUACCAGGGCUUUUGUGAUGCGCUCUCAAAGAGUCGAGUUGUUUGGGAAUGCAGCUCAAAAUGGGUGGUAAAUUCCAUCUAAAGCUAAAUAUUGGCGAGAGACCGAUAGCGAACAAGUACCGUGAGGGAAAGAUGAAAAGAACUUUGGAAAGAGAGUUAAACAGUACGUGAAAUUGCUGAAAGGGAAACGCUUGAAGUCAGUCGCGUUGUCCGGGGAUCAACCUUGCUUCUGCUGGGCGUACUUCCCGGUUGACGGGUCAGCAUCAAUUUUGACCGUUGGAUAAAGUCUAGGGGAAUGUGGCAUCUUCGGAUGUGUUAUAGCCCUUGGUCGCAUACAACGGUUGGGAUUGAGGAACUCAGCACGCCGCAAGGCCGGGUAUUCGUACCACGUUCGUGCUUAGGAUGCUGGCAUAAUGGCUUUAAUCGACCCGUCUUGAAACACGG
rnacentral:rRNA from 1 species